UGAACGCUGGCGGCGUGCCUAAUACAUGCACGUCGAGCGAACAGACGAGGAGCUUGCUCCUCUGACGUUAGCGGCGGACGGGUGAGUAACACGUGGAUAACCUACCUAUAAGACUGGGAUAACUUCGGGAAACCGGAGCUAAUACCGGAUAAUAUAUUGAACCGCAUGGUUCAAUAGUGAAAGACGGUUUUGCUGUCACUUAUAGAUGGAUCCGCGCCGCAUUAGCUAGUUGGUAAGGUAACGGCUUACCAAGGCAACGAUGCGUAGCCGACCUGAGAGGGUGAUCGGCCACACUGGAACUGAGACACGGUCCAGACUCCUACGGGAGGCAGCAGUAGGGAAUCUUCCGCAAUGGGCGAAAGCCUGACGGAGCAACGCCGCGUGAGUGAUGAAGGUCUUCGGAUCGUAAAACUCUGUUAUUAGGGAAGAACAAAUGUGUAAGUGACUAUGCACGUCUUGACGGUACCUAAUCAGAAAGCCACGGCUAACUACGUG
rnacentral:rRNA from 1 species